CUGGGCACCGCCGCGGCGCCUUGCGGAGGUCCUCCUCUGUGCGAUCGCGGAGGCACUGCCAUUGCCGGUGCAGGACGAUCUCGCGGUAUCCCAGCGGCGCGCUGGUCUUCGCUUUGAUUCUAACAGAGUGAGCGUCUGUUCCCCCGCAUGGACGUCGCGUUGUUUCUGGAUCGUAUUGGGAAUCGAAUCUGUGGCUCAAAUGGAGCUCGAUAAUGUGAACUUUGGCGUAAUGUGAUGAUUCCUGCUCCGUGCCAGGGCUCAUUACUGUUUGUGGGGGAGCAGUACGACGCGUGGAAAGUGGGCGCCGCUGUUGGUAUUUGGAAGAGCUCUCCACGUGAAUCCUUAGCGUCCCUCGUCACUGUCCCUCAGAUCUGCUGUUGGUGACUGAUACUAUGCAUUUAUGAUUUUUCUUUCGUCCGUUUCCGCGUUGGCAUGAUCGGUGAAACGGUUCGUGUAAAAAAUUAUUGAUCUCGCGUUGAGCAAUUAGACUUGCCUGAGGCUCCAUAUUUCUCGUCCGCCAUGAAUGCUUUCUUCUCCGGGUUGAUUUAGGUCAGCAGAAAACACUGUGAUCCGUGUUUUCCAUUCCGCCUUGAUAUGCCAAAAAAUAAUGGCAGCAAUGAUGUCGAUCGCUGCCCGAUUCCCUGUUCUUCCGAGGAUUAUACGUACGGUGUCACGCGGUGGUGUGAGGGUUGUCACAUAUAGGCAUUAAUCAUUAUUGUUUGGAAUGUUCAAAUGAAGAAAACUUGCUCACAGCCCUGUACACACUUCCAUUUAUUAAUAUUUCUUACUGAGAUAAGGCAAAAGAUAUUACAAAUCGAAUGAGUCAGUUUCUGUAGAACUGAAGCUCAUCAUUGCUCAAGGUUGUGGAGAGCUUCAGCAUGUGGCUGAUGGAUGUGAUCCAUAUCUUGUAGCAGACAUAAUCCUUGACCUUCAAUUUGGUUGCUCCGUGGCUUGUAGCCAUAACAAUGGAGUAUGAUGGAUAUUCUUCUGAGCUCGGUUCCUUGUCCUCCCUGUUCUGUAAGCUGUAGACAAAACCUGGAAUACAGAUUCGCGAUUCAAAUGUCAGUUUGUGUUGCCAAAAUGUUCAAGCUUUUCUAACAUCAUGAACUGGAAAAACUUGCGGCUUACUCUCUUUUCCAUUGGAAAAUGGCGUCAAAGCAUUUAUCUUCUUGACCCUGAGAACGACCUUUGCCUCCUUGUUAAGAAAGACUGAUACUAAUCUGAUCUUCCAGUUUCCUGCAGCCAAGGAGAAAUCAAGCUCCCCAUAUGGUUUUAGAAAACGGACCCUCCAGAAGAACUUUAUCUUCCUGAGAAUAUAAACACAAAUGGAAGGUUAUUUCGAUCAGCAUACCAUCUGGUGUCAUCACAUGAAGUUCAGUACCCUUGGCCAGUGAAUGGACGCACUUCUCAAAAUCAAGAUCAAAUUCCCCGGUUGAAAUGGUAGGUGUGCUGCUGCUGUUCUGCAAAAAUUUAGAUCCUGAUCUCCCUCUGAGGGUCGCUGCGCCCCUCAAUGCUGAAACGUAUGAAAACUGUGUUUUGUUAGUAUUGGGAAGAAAGACGCCAUUAUAACUCAAUAUCGAUAAAUAUAUGCAUCUGCAUAAACUAGCUUAGUGUUGAAUGUGUUUGUUUUCGGCUGUUUUUGCUACCAUCUUAGCCUGCCGCUGUGCUGAGCGGGAUGGAUAUCCUCGGAGAUCUCAAUGAAAUGACUAACUAUAUGAUGAUUGAUCUAUGUCUAUUUUUAUUCCAUAAUUGAAUGUCUUAACAUGUGCACUUGAGAAGCGUUGAUGUAUUCAUCAGUGAAACUGAUCGACCUACUGCCUAAUGCAUGAACCAGAUCUAAGAGAAACCUAGUAAAAUCCUCCUGAAAUUGACACGAAAAGAGUUAUUAUUCUCAUCUGACCAUGAAUUAUCUUAACACAUUCAAUAUGCAUCCUAAUUUAUGAAAUAAUUUCGAUAUGCUGAGAAGUGAAGGCGUGGAUACAUGUUGCAGCAGCCGCUGUCAGCAUCAGGAUGUCGGUGGCACUGGUGCUGCUCACAGGGGUGCUAGCAAUCUGCUCCUGUCGCGCGCCCAGAGCAUGCGCCGCUCUUGCGCAUUGUUCCGCCACAAGAGCCGCUGCUGAUGCCACUGCAGUCUCCUUUGAGAGAUUGGAUUGGCUCCUCUCUGCGCUGUCAGUGGCCACAGCCGCCAGCAUGGCGGCGACCCGUGCCACUGAUAUUGCUGCAUGUACCUCCGCCUUCUGCAGCCGCUCUUCUUCCUUCCGCCUCUGCUUCCUUUCAUCAAUCCAUUUCUUUAUAGAGAGGCCCUUCCAAGGUGCGAUCUUCCUCGAGAUCUGCAUGAACAACCCCAGCAUUCAAUGCACAACCAGUCCCUGAUUGCAGAUCAUCAAGCCUAAAUAAUUUUUUUCAUGCUUAGAUUCUGGAUUAUGUGAUCGAUUUGGGCUCAGUUUCCAUGUGAUGAUGAGCUUGAAUUAUAAUCAACUCUACAGAUUUUAUGGAUUUGAGAUACUGUGAAUUAACAAACAGAGUACCCAUCUCUUCUGCAUGCAGCGCUCGUAGUCCAACUCCGGAUGGAUCGCCUGCUGCAGCCAUAUCCACGACUGAAAGGGUGCUCAAACCAGAACCAGUCAGCAGCGCAGGUAUUCUUAGAACACUCGACUUAAGAACUGGUCUCUUUACCUUGACGUCAUCUAUCUUCAAUGUGGGCAGUGACCCUGCGCCUCCAUGAUCUCCGUCCUUCACAUGCC
rnacentral:lncRNA from 1 species